AAAACGGUCCUUUUCAGGGCCACCAUAUACUUACACACUAUAUAAA
rnacentral:ncRNA from 1 species